rnacentral:lncRNA from 10 species
AAAAUACACUCCAUCUCUCCUUCCCCAGACACACACACACACAAUUAGAAAACCCCACUUUUGGCCGGGGAUGGUGGCUCACGCCUGUAAUCCCAGCACUUUGGAAGGCUGAGGCGGGCAGAUCACUUGAGAUCAGGAGUUCAAAAGCAGUCUGACCAACAUGGUGAUACCCAUAUCUACUAAAGAUACUAAAAUUAGCUGGGCGUGGUAACGCAUGCUUGUAAUCUCAUCUACUCAGGAGGCUGAGGCAGGAAAAUUGCUUGAACCCUGGAGGCGGGGUUGCAGUGACCCGAGAUCGGCACUCCAGCCUGGGUGACAGAGCAAGACUCCAUCUCAAAACGAAACCCACUCCUGAGACCCCCCAUCCACUCCCCGUACAAUCCCCUGGCCCCAUCUCUGAGCCUCAGACCUUGAGGGACGACUAUUUCCCCGCGUGGACCAUUUUUGAUCUGGCCCCGCCCCUUCGAUGAAAGGUUUCGUCUCCAACUGAGCCCCUUUCCGGGACUACUACUAACCUGGCCACGCCUCUUCUCUAACUGGGCCACCACCUUAGCCUUGGUCUCCUGCAAGGAUCGCCCAGGAUCUAGCCCCGCCUCCUCGGUGGAAUACACCUGGAUUGCCCAUCCCCAUCAGGGCCUACAGAAAACCAGUGUGUUUCCCUCUAAACCCCAAGUAGAAGGCUGGCAGCAGUCCUGGGCCUGACCUCCUAGUGGAAUGCUCAGGCUUGGCCCCGGCCCCAGGUGGAACCCAGCCGGCUUGACCCCGCCCCCAGGUUAUGACGAAAGCUUGGCCCCGCCCCCUCGGAGCAAUGCUUCGGGCCUUGUAACAUUAGCUAGGGGAGCAUCGGGCAAGGGUUCUUCCCAUGACUGUAAGGUAGUGAUGUUUCCUCUUCCUCCACAGCCCAGGCUUGCAUCCCUCCCUGCGGUAAGGACUUCAUCUAAAACUUGGAAAUUGCGGGGUAAGGGAGGCGGUCGGGGACGAAACGUACGACAUCAAGUGUGGGAAAGCGGGUGGGCUUCACAUCCUUAGGAAGCCAAUAAGAUCCCUGGAGAAAAGGAAGAAAACCAAGUAUUGCUCUAAAUCCUCAGAAGGUGUGUGUGAGAGCCGAAGCAAACCAAUAGGAAUCCUAGAGGGCGGAGAGGAGUGAGAGUCGGCCAAAGACAGCAGGGAGGGCGGGGUCAAGAUGCCACCUGGCCGAUGGACCCCGGGAAGCUGCAUGGAUCUCAAAUGGGCCAAGGGCCCCGGGCUUGGAAGGGCAGGUGGCGCCUAGACCCAGCGUUCCCGCUCCACAGGUCUCCAGGAGUUCGCCCGGCGUUUCCUCUGCAGCGGGUGCUACUCUAGGGUCUGCGACCUCCCGCUGGACUGCCCAGGUGAGGGGGCGGGGCCUCGGGGUGCAGGAGGCCAACCUGAGAAAAGGGACCAGAGCACCGAGGGGCAUAAGCUGGUGGCGAGGCCAGACGUGGUCGGGGCCCAGCGAGUGAACCCUGCUCCGUCUUCAGUUCAGGAUGUGACAGUGACUCGGGGCGACCAGGCUAUGUUUUCUUGCAUCGUAAACUUCCAGCUGCCAAAGGAGGAGAUCACCUAUUCCUGGAAGUUCGCAGGAGGAGGUCUCCGGACUCAGGACUUGUCCUAUUUCCGAGAUAUGCCGCGGGCCGAAGGAUACCUGGCGCGGAUCCGGCCGGCUCAGCUCACGCACCGCGGGACGUUCUCCUGCGUGAUCAAGCAAGACCAGCGCCCCCUGGCCCGGCUCUACUUCUUUCUUAA